ACGGGAGGCAGCAGUGGGGAAUAUUGCACAAUGGGGGAAACCCUGAUGCAGCAACGCCGCGUGAAGGAUGAAGGCCCUUGGGUCGUAAACUUCUGUUCUAAGGGAAGAUAAUGACGGUACCUUAGGAGCAAGUCCCGGCUAACUACGUGCCAGCAGCCGCGGUAAUACGUAGGGGGCAAGCGUUAUCCGGAAUUAUUGGGCGUAAAGCGUGCGUAGGCGGUCCUUUAAGCACGGGGUUUAAGGCAAUGGCUUAACCAUUGUUCGCCCUGUGAACUGGGGGACUUGAGUGCAGGAGAGGAAAGCGGAAUUCCUAGUGUAGCGGUGAAAUGCGUAGAUAUUAGGAGGAACACCAGUGGCGAAGGCGGCUUUCUGGACUGUAACUGACGCUGAGGCACGAAAGCGUGGGGAGCAAACAGGAUUAGAUACCCUGGUA
rnacentral:rRNA from 1 species